rnacentral:lncRNA from 1 species
AGACGCCCACACGCGAAAUCCAAGGGGCGGACACCAGCGCCGAGCACUCUGCGCUCAGGAAAUUUACCCGGUGAAGUGUCGAAAAGCCCCAACCCCUCCAGACAGGGUCCUCCCACCCCGGCGCUGGCCAUCCCGGCCCAGCCCUCCCGAGGCCCUGGGUACUCGCCUUGCGCGCGGGUCGCGGAGUUCUAAAAGCGAGUUCUAGGGUACAUGUGCAUAACGUGCAGGUUUGUUACAUAUGUAUACUUGUGCCAUGUUGCUGUGCUGCACGCAUCAACUCGUCAGCACCCAUCAACUCGUCAUUUACAUCAGGGUCUCACUUUGUCACCCAGGCUGGAGUGUAGUGGCGCGAUCUCUGCUCAUUGGAUCUCCUCCUCUGCGUCCAAGCUAUCCUCCCACAUCAGCCUUCCAAGUAGCUGGGAUUACAGACGCGCACCAUCAACCAAGCAAUUAAGGAAAGUGCAGACCUUAUUAUGAAAAUGAGAUAAUUGGUGAAGUGCCGAGAGAGGCUUCCCAGGAACCUGGGCCCUCGGGAUUCUUCAGUCAUCACCUUCACCCACACUACCUGCCCAAAAGCACCGUCUUUCCCUGGGGAGACUCUGAAGCAGCUCUGUCUUGCUAGAGAUACCAAAUAUCCAGUUCCUUUUGAACUUAACACCUCAUAGCCGACCUCAUUUCCACCAGGAAAGUUUUAUUGACAUUUUCCAAACCACGGGAACUAUUCCUUUGGAUUUCUAUAGCAUUUAUAGGAGGAAUUUUAUUUAUGUGGCUCUUUUCUGGCUUCGUUUUACGGGUGUGUGUGUGUGUGUUUUCUUUUCCCCUUUUCCCUCUCCAAAUUCUCACAUACUUCUCAUUUAUUUAUCUCUUUUUUUUUGUUUGUUUUUGUUUUUGUUUUCAACUGAGUACCGCUGUGUUGCCCAGGCUGGAGCGUGGAGGACUGUGGUGCGAUCUCAGCUCACUGCAGCCUCCGCCUUUUGGGUUCAAGCCAUUCUCCUGCCUCAGCCUCCUGAGUAGCUAAGAUUACAGCCAUGUACCACCACGCCCAGCUAAUUUUCAUAUUUUUAGUAGACGCAGGGUUUCACCAUGUUGGCCAGGGUGGUCUGAAACUCCUGGCAUCAAGUGAUUCGCCUGCCUCUGCCUCCCGAAAUGCUGAGAUUACAGGCGUGAGCCACCACGCCUGGCUCUAUUUUUAUCAUUGUAACCCAUCUAAACAAGGUGGGUUAUAAAUAAAUAUUAUUAGAUCAGUUAUGUCUGGGAGGUUCAAGCAUUGCUUUGUCCUCAAGUUACUUUGCUUGCUAGAUUUUAUAAACUAAUUGAGAAAUUGUCUUUCUCCCUCUUCGCAAAAAUAUCUUAGUUCUUUGAUUAUUAUUCACUCAUUUAUUGUUUAAAAAUUAUUAAUCUCUGUUUGGCAUUUUGAAAAUACAGUGGUUACCAAAUA